rnacentral:lncRNA from 13 species
AUGCACCACCAUGCCCAGCUAAUUUCUGUAUUUUUCUUUUUUUAUAGAAAAGGGGUUUCACAAUGUUGCUCAGGCUUGUCUCAAACUUCUGGGGGAAAGCAAUCUAUCUGCUUCAGCCUCCCAAAGUGUUGGGAUUACCAGGGAUUGUUCCUUGUUGUGACUAAGAAUGCUGAUGAAGACAACUCUAAAAUGCCAACCUUGAAGUUUCCUUAUCAAAAUUCCACAUAUAGAGGGUGUGUACCUCUACAUUUCACGUAUGAUUUAUGCUACUUUUAGGAAAGUUAUUUACAAAUGAUGAAUGAUCCUAUUUAAUUCUUUUUUUUAAGAGAUAGUAUCUUGUUCUGUCACGUAGGCUGGAGUAGCUAAGUCCUUUUGGGCUUGUUUGCUUACAGACCACAUCUGUGGAAGUGUGGAAAGGAAAUCCAGAAAGUUUACACCAUGGAAAGGAAACCCAGAAGGUUUACCCAGUUCGGCUUAGGAAUUGUUUGAUUCCUUGACAAAAAACACACAUUGUAAUAUUACAGUGUUACAUAGAAAAUGUAAUUUAAACUGAACCACAUUGCUGAUACCAAGUGCACCAUGAUGUGUCUAUGUGUAAUGGUAUCAACAACACACGUGCCUGAGAUCUGCUCUAAAAUAUAUCAGUAGUAUUUUAGACCAUUCACGGCUAAAGAAAACAGUCUUAACAAAAUGAUAAAGUGUGCUAAAAAGAAAAAAUCACCCUGCUUUGUGUUUUACAUUUAAAUUUAAGUUUGUUAAAAUUGAAUAAAUUAUAAAAUUCUGUUCUUCA